rnacentral:rRNA from 1 species
CGGCGUGCCUAACACAUGCAAGUCGAACGGAGCUGAGGAGCUUGCUCCUUAGCUAGUGGCGGACGGGUGAGUAACGCGUGAGUAACCUGCCUCUGAGAGGGGAAUAACGUUCUGAAAAGAACGCUAAUACCGCAUAACGUAUUGAAGCCGCAUGACUUUGAUACCAAAGAUUUUAUCGCUCGGAGAUGGACUCGCGUCCGAUUAGCUUGUUGGUGAGGUAACGGCUCACCAAGGCGACGAUCGGUAGCCGGACUGAGAGGUUGAUCGGCCACAUUGGGACUGAGACACGGCCCAGACUCCUACGGGAGGCAGCAGUGGGGGAUAUUGCGCAAUGGGGGCAACCCUGACGCAGCAACACCGCGUGAAGGAUGAAGGUUUUCGGAUUGUAAACUUCUUUUAUCAGGGACGAAAUUUGACGGUACCUGAUGAAUAAGCUCCGGCUAACUACGUGCCAGCCGCGGC